UGAGGAAUAUUGCUCAAUGGACGAAAGUCUGAAGCAGCAACGCCGCGUGAGGGAUGAAGGUGCUCUGCAUCGUAAACCUCUGUAGUCGGGGACAAACGUGGGGUUACUACCCCAUUGAUGGUACCUGAAAAGUAAGGAUCGGCUAACUACGUGCCAGCAGCCGCGGUAAUACGUAGGAUCCGAGCGUUGUCCGGAUUUACUGGGUGUAAAGGGUGCGCAGGCGGGCUCAUAAGUCAGCAGUGAAAUCUCGGCGCUCAACGCCGAAACGUCUGUUGAUACUAUGAGCCUUGAGUGAGCGAGAGACGUGUGGAAUUCCGAGUGUAGCAGUGAAAUGUGUAGAUAUUCGGAAGAACACCAGCGGCGAAGGCAGCACGUUGGCGCUUUACUGACGCUCAGGCACGAAAGCAUGGGGAUCAAACAGGAUUAGAUACCCCCGUAGUCC
rnacentral:rRNA from 1 species